CCAGCGGAGGGAUCAUUACAGAGUUUUCACAACUCCCAACCCUUGCGAACCGUACCCAUUCUGUUCUCGUUGCUUCCGGCGGGGGGGACGGGGGGGCCCGAAACGGCCUCCCCGCCCCGCCCGCCGGGGGCGGCGGGCCCUACGAACCUUUAUAUCUCAACCACCAGAAACCGUCUGAGAAAACAAACAAAAUAAUCAAAACUUUCAACAACGGAUCUCUUGGCUCUGGCAUCGAUGAAGAACGCAGCGAAAUGCGAUACGUAAUGUGAAUUGCAGAAUUCAGCGAACCAUCGAAUCUUUGAACGCACAUUGCGCCCGCCAGUAUUCUGGCGGGCAUGCCUGUCCGAGCGUCAUUUCCCCCCUCACGCGCCCCGUUGCGCGCUGGUGUUGGGGCUCCUCCGCCUGGCGGAGGGCCCCGAAAGCGAGUGGCGGGCCCGGCUGGUUGGCUCCGAGCGCAGUACCGAACGCAAGUUCUCCCCUCGCCCGGACGCCCCGCCGGCGCCCUGCCGUCAAAACGCGCAUGACGUGCAACUCUUUUUUACAAGGUUGACCUCGGAUCAGGUAGGACUACCCGCUGAACUUAAGCAUAUCAAUAAGCGGAGGAA
rnacentral:rRNA from 1 species